CUCAGAUCCACCUGAAGGAUCAAAAAUGUCCUCAAGUCCUUAGACAGAUGACUCGGAAAUACUUGAAAUGUGUUUCAUUUUAUGACUAUUUGCAGAACUGGAGAGAAUGCUGAAUAAUUUGCCUCAUUUAAAAAUGAUGGACCUGUCUGCUACCUAAAUACAGUAAGCUUAAAUGGGAUUGAUGGGCCAUAAAUAUUGUGAUGACCUUCUGAUACAUCAGGAGGAGAGAAAAGUUUGUUCUCUUUACUGCUUGGGCUAUGAUUUAACUUUGCUGUGGCUCCUGAUGACCUGCCAGACUGAGAAAAAGGAAGAGAGCUACUUUAGAAAUGUACAGGUGACUUUCAUCUGAGUGGCACUGCGAAGACAAGAGACAACUCUAACUGCUUUCAUGAUAUCAAGUUCAAGAAAACAUCCCUGUGUUUCUGGUAUUGAAUUUCUGAACAGAGACUGGAAUAAAACAGACAAACUGGAUUCCACCCUCUGGACCUUUAUUUGCUGAGGUCCAGUUGAGAACAGGACUUUGUGAGCAAUGUAAGACUUGAAAGGGUCUUCUGCCUUGCUGAGCCCAAUCCAGUGCUGCUACAGGAAGCUGUCAUUAACAUGAUGUGUCAAAGUGAAGUGAUCCCUGUAGAUGGCCUGAGUGAACAGCUUCAUACUGCUGGGAAGAGAAAAGUUUAACUCCUUCGCAAGCUUGGUGGAUUAGUUGUGACCUGGGAAGGAAAGCUGCUGGUGAUGAGAGAAAAAGCAACAAUAUAAAACGCAAAGCAGAACCUAGCCAGAAACUAACUGAAAUUUAAUAUUUUAGAUAUGAUGAAUAGGUUUGUGUGCCUGACUGUUGUUGUCAUUUCAGGUACCUUAGAAUGUAGCAUCAUAUAGGUUKUAUGUUUAUGAAGGUGAUCAUCCUUUAUAUGGUUCACAGACAUCCGAAUCACAUCUGUACAAUCAUGUGCAUUGCAGAUGUGUAUGAUGAUGCAUCUACACCUUUCACGUGAACUACGGCUAACCAUUUUUAUUAUUAUUAUUAUUUUUAACAGAAAAUCAGAAUCUAGUCUGUAAAAUACUUCAGAUUUAUUCAUAUCAUGCAGUGAUGACGGGAAACAAUCUGAAGUGAUCCAAGAAAUGUGAGCGUAAGUUAUUUAAGCUGCAUUGCUUUGUUUUUACUUUUUGGGGAAUGUGGAGCACUGUAGACAGAAUUUAUGCUUCAACUUAAAAAGAUUCCAAAAAGAAAACAGUUCUGUAAGGUGAUAUAAUCAGACACAUGCUGCAAACAAGGCACUUUGUUCCUCAUGUGAGAACAUGAAGAAAAGUGGUGUAGAGCUUAAAUUAAAGCCUUUGUACCUGUAACAGCACUGGCAGUUCAGUGUCAUUCAAAUUCAGUGCUUAAAAAAUUAAUUUCUAAGCUGAAGAGAACCUGCCAGUCUCAACUUAAGUUCAUGGUCAGGUGUCUUGGUU